rnacentral:lncRNA from 1 species
UUUUCAGGAUCAAAGCUGUUAAGUUCUGAUAAUGCUUCACGGAAAAUUUUGUCUGCUGCAAAGUCUGGCAGUUUAUUGCCAGAUUUUCCUUCUCCUCAUCAGCUACAUUUACCAUAUCAUGUAGAAACAUGCAAGUUAGAUACCUUUAUGGUUAUGUACAGAACACAUUGUCAAUGUCUACUGGAUACUGCAGUAGCUAAGAAUUAUGAAGCGAUUCAUCAAUAUUUGGUGCAUUUUUGGCAAGGUAUACCAAACCAUUUAAAAUCAUUGUUUGAGGUUCCUGAGAUCAUCAGUUUAAUUUGUGUUUGUGAUGCUAUAACAUU